AGCAGCCGCGGUAAUUCCAGCUCCAAUAGCGUAUAUUAAAGUUGUUGCAGUUAAAAAGCUCGUAGUUGAAUUUUGGAUUCUUCCAAUUGGUCCAUCUUUUAGAUGAGUACUGGUUGUGUGGGGUCUAUCCGCCUGGUGAUACGUAAUGUCCUUUAUUGGAUGUUGCGGGUAGUCAGGACCUUUACCUUGAAAAAAUUAGAGUGUUUAAAGCAGGCUUAUGCCGGAAUACAUUAGCAUGGAAUAAUAGAAUAGGACGAAGUUGUUUUAUUUUGUUGGUUUCUAGGACAACCGUAAUGAUUAAUAGGGAUAGUUGGGGGCAUUAGUAUUCAAUUGUCAGAGGUGAAAUUCUUGGAUUUAUUGAAGACUAACUACUGGCGAAAGCAUUUGCCAAGGAUGUUUUCAUUAAUCAAGAACGAAAGUUAGGGGAUCGAAGACGAUCAGAUACCGUCGUAGUCUUAACCAUAAACUAUGCCGACUAGGGAUCGGGCGAUGUUGUUUCCAUGACUCGCUCGGCACCUUA
rnacentral:rRNA from 1 species